rnacentral:rRNA from 1 species
GUGGGGAAUAUUGCACAAUGGAGGAAACUCUGAUGCAGCGACGCCGCGUGAGUGAUGAAGGCCUUCGGGUCGUAAAGCUCUGUCGCAGGGGAAUAACACAAUGAAGGUACCCUGUAAGAAAGGAUCGGCUAACUUCGUGCCAGCAGCCGCGGUAAGACGAGGGAUCCUAGCGUUGUUCGGAAUCAUUGGGCGUAAAGCGGAUGUAGGUGGCUAUGUAAGUCAGAUGUGAAAGCCUGGGGCUCAACCCCAGAAGUGCAUUUGAUACUGCGUAGCUUGAGUGUCGGAGAGGUUACUAGAAUUGUUGGUGUAGUGGUGAAAUACGUAGAUAUCAACAGGAAUACCGGAGGCGAAGGCGGGUAACUGGCCGAACACUGACACUGAGAUCCGAAAGCGUGGGGAUCAAACAGGAUUAGAAACCCUUGUAGUCC